GGCAGAGUAGGCAUCACACGUUAAGUGCCAAGGGAUGGGAUGUUGCCCUUGGACGAACGGUGAACCAUAUCACCGGCGCUGUGAUGCCGCAUCCGCUGCC
rnacentral:ncRNA from 1 species